AUUACAACUAGCAUCUUUACAGAAGGAUCGUGGAUCAUUUUUUAGGUCUAAGGUAGAGGGGGUUACAGGUUGCUAUCCAUUUGAAAGUCUUCGAGCUGCUGUUGAUGUUCUCUUUAUACAUGGAAGUUCUGAUUUAGUAGUUGCAAAACAAGCGAUUCUACUUUAUUACAUUUUUGAUUGGCAUUGGACAAUGCUGGAUGGAACUUGGAGGCGCAUUGUAGAUGACUUUGCAGCUACUUUUGGUAUAACCAGGCAUGCAUUACUUGAAUCGCUUGUCUUUUAUCUUCUAGAUGACCACACAGAUGAAGCUCUAAAGGAAGCUUGUCACCUUCUUCCUGAGAUCUCAAGCCCAUCAAUUCAUCCUAAGAUUGCUCAAGUGCUAUUAGAAAGAGAAGCACCAGAAACGGCUCUGAUGGUCUUGCGGUGGUCUGGGCGUGAUGGAUCUCAGAUGGUUUCACUUAGUGAGGCUGUUACUGCAGUUCGGGUGAGGGUUGAGUGUGGACUUCUGACUGAAGCUUUUAUGCAUCAGAGGAUGCUCUGUACCAAAGUCAGGGAAAAGAAGUGGAAAGAUGAACUAACCGAGGAUGCUUCUGAUGAUUUGAAACGUGAAUGUAGGACUUGGGAGGACUGGGUGAAGGUACUGGUGACUGAAAUUUGUUGUCUUUGCAUCAAGAGCAAAUUGGUAGACCGGAUGAUAGAAUUUCCUUGGAAUUUGGAUGAAGAGAAAUAUGUCCAUAAAUGUCUUUUAGAUUGUGCAAUCGAUGACCCUUCAACAACCACUGGAAGUCUUCUUGUUGUAUUUUAUCUUCAGCGCUACAGAUAUGCCGAGGCAUGCCAAGUUGAUCUCAAACUUCAGGGUGUGGAGCAGGAUUUCGUUUCAAAUAAUUCUGUCAGUGAAGAAGUUUUGUCUAAAGUGAGAUCAGCUAGUGAUUGGAGAACAGGGCUUGUUGCUAAAUCCAUUGAAUUGCUACCACAAGUCCAACAGCAGCAAGCAAAGACUGGAAAAAUGGUGUCUGAGAUUUAUAAUAUUUCUGGUGAACAAGUUAAAACACCUGCGAAGUCUGAUAGUCCAAUGGUACAAAAGCCAAAGUCAAUCAAUUUGUUGAUUCCCCAAUAUGCUGAUUCUUCUCUUGUUCUGAAGUCAAAUCAUGGAAUUCCAUUUAAAUCAUCAGUCCUUAAAACUCCAACACCACUUGAUGGAUCCAUCAACAAAUCUCGCUUUGAACCUGGUAACUAUGGCUCUCCAUCAAUUCUCCAAGCAAGGUUAUUCACAAAUGCCAGAAAAGGACUGAAGCCACAAGUUAGCAAUCACAAGAAUGUUAAAUAUGAUGGAACCCCAACUCCUGGAAUUCCUUGGGUUAGUCCUAUGAGUGCUACACCAUUAAAGGAUAUCAGCAGAACUUCAUUGGGAGUGCUUCCUGACAAUGACCUGCAUCAUGGUCAGUUUGAUAGCGACUUACCAGAAAUGGAACAAAAUGGGUUCGCUGAGCAACUCCAAAGUAGAGGUCCCCUUUAUUCCCACAAGGUUACAGCUAAUGUAAUUGCUAUGUCUGGUGGCCAUUGCGGGUUUCCUAGUGAUUCUGCACAGGUGUCUGGUAAAAGGAUCCAUCCUGAAAGAUCAGAUGAUGGACUUCGGAGAAUGACUUAUGGAGAUGAUGCAAUAGAUAUUGGUUCGAGUGGUAGAGAAAAGGGGUUCACUGCUGAUGAUGGAAUUGUGAAUGGUGGGCCAAGAUGGAGGUCUGAUGAAUCUAGUGAUGAGGAAGAUGAGCAUAAUUUGGAGAGAGCUGUUAAAGGAGCUUCUUAUAGAACUCCCAGAAGAGGAAUUAGAAGAAGUAGGUUUGCUAGAAGAUGAAGAUUGCUGGUGUCCAUUUGACAAACUAUUGAUUUGUCUGAUCAACUGAAUAAAAAUGGGUGAGCUAGAAGCAACAUGAGUGAGCAGUGAAACAAAGCCAUAACUCUUUUUGUUUACUUGUUCCAUUAGAGUACAUAAUAUACUAUAUAUUGAUUCAUAGUUGCAAAAUGAGAAUCGUAUCAUCUCCAUUUCUUCUUGCUGAGCCGUUGAUCAAAUGUGGGUUCUUGGCAGGGCUGCAUUUUUGUUCGAUGUCAAGCAAUUCUGUUUCCGUACUGCUUUCUUCUUUCUCUUUGGUAGCUGUAGCUGCCAACAUUUUUGUAACUUGUAAUAUAUGCAUGAUCAAUUACCAAUAUUUUUACUGCUUUGUCUGAUUGGC
rnacentral:misc_RNA from 1 species